UUCCUGGUGGCUCAGACAGUAGAGAAUCUGCCUGCAGUGCAGGAGACCCAGGUUUGAUCCCUGGGUUGGGAA
rnacentral:tRNA from 1 species